UAUAACACCUCGUGACACAUAGAAUUUGUUGCUAGUAGGAUCAAAGCACUCUGCCCCUUGCCCUCUGCCCUAACCCCUUCCCCUCCAUCUCAGUCCCUCACCGCUCCCCCUUUGUCUCUGCCCUAACCCCUCCCCCUCCAUCUCAGUCACGAUUCUAACCCUCCCAUUUGUCUGGUAAGAGUUGAUCUUUCAUCCUAUCUGUGUAGCAAAAUCGGCCCUUCUGAGUUGAUCUUCCCCUUCUAUCUAAAUCUCGAGCCCUCUCUCCCUGACUUGUUUAUUUUUUCUCUGUGGCUGAUCAAUUUUCUAACAGUCUCUUUUUACUCCACUUGGAGAAGUAUUUAUCGAGAAAAAUAGACCAAUGAAGUGUUGUUUGAUUUCAUUGUCAUAAUCUCAAAUCUCUAAAUGGCCUCAUAAUACCCUCCAUUUCUCCUUCUCUCCACUUCACGAGGGCAGCUUUUCGCACCUAUAACUAGCUUCUUCUGGAUUGCGGACAUCACGCUACAACCUGAUAGCAGAAGCUUUUUGCAGUUGAUCCAAUCAAUCUGAUCCAAACUACCGAGAAGAAAACGAAUUUCAGUCUUAGUUUGGUUCCCAUCCUAUUGUGGAAUAAUGGAUAUAAGUACAAUGAACCCUGGACAACUGACUCUCUUUGGAUCUGCAUUUUGUGUGAUGCUUACAAUGCACUUCACAAUACAGUUAUUGUCGCAACAUCUCUUUUACUAGAAGAACCCAAAGGAGCAGAAGGCUAUUAUAAUUAUAAGUUAUCCUUAUGGCUCCCAUAUAUGCAAUUGACUCAUUUUGUGGGUUUGUUAGAUAUCGAGGGAAGCAAAGCGUUCUUGGUUGAAGAAGGAAAAGCGAAAAUUAUUGUGUUUGUACUAGGUUAUCACAAUUGUAAUAGUUUUGGCUUGGUUCGGAUAAAUUGUAUGUAAAUUUACACGUUGUAUAGAGUAAAGUGUUUUUAAAUAGAUUAAUUGUAAUUGUACUCCCCUUAUGUUUUGGUUAUGAUGUACAAAAGGGGUAUAUGUAGGUACAUUAAAUUAACCUGUAUAAUGAAAAGUUGAGUUUAACAAACAGCUUGAGCACAUGGUUUGAUCUCCUGAAA